UACGAAGGGGGCUAGCGUUGCUCGGAAUUACUGGGCGUAAAGCGCACGUAGGCGGCUUUCUAAGUCAGGGGUGAAAUCCUGGAGCUCAACUCCAGAACUGCCUUUGAUACUGGAAAGCUUGAGUUCGGGAGAGGUGAGUGGAACUGCGAGUGUAGAGGUGAAAUUCGUAGAUAUUCGCAAGAACACCAGUGGCGAAGGCGGCUCACUGGACUGGUAUUGACGCUGAGGUGCGAAAGCGUGGGGAGCAAACAGG
rnacentral:rRNA from 1 species